UGCGCAGCCCUGGUUCGAGCGGGCCAGUGAGGCCCGGCGCCCUCCCCGCCUCGCCACGAGGAUCCACCGCGGCCGCCCAGGCUUCUAGCCUUGUCGUCACGGCACGGAGAUAAGCCCGCGCUGGCCACAUCGCGAAGCCCCUUGCACCGCAGGGAUCCCCACCUGUCCGGUGAGGAAGAUUUGUCCCUCCUGCAUACUGUGUCCACCCUUACAGGCCCUCACUCUCCAUGAUGGCUCAGCACAGGUGACUAUCCUGACCUCCUCACAUCCCUCCUUCUUCGAGAGGGUUCUGGCGUUUCUCUCUGCUCCCUGGUGCGUGUCUUCUCAUGGUGCACUGCCGAGUCCUUUAAGAAGCUAUGCUUCCCUGUCAUGCGUCCAGGACAGCCCCUUGAACCCCUCCUGGGUCCGCAUCUCUCAUCACCCCUGCUUCUUUACGUACUGACUUGGCUUUGUUUGUGCUUUGACUCCCCAGGAGAAAGUGGGCUUCCUGCAAGCGGAGCUGUGCCCAGGACCAUGCCAGCCCACGGCAGGCGCUCAGUAAUGUUUGUUGAAUGAAUGUGUAAAUGCAUGAAGAUAAUAUAUGUAUUUAAUGCAUGUAAAUAGAUGCCUGCUGCA
rnacentral:lncRNA from 1 species